rnacentral:tRNA from 1 species
GAGGGUAUAGCUCAAGUGAUGGAGCACAUGCCUCUCAUGCACAGGGUCCUGGGUUCAAUCCCCAGCACCUCCU